rnacentral:rRNA from 1 species
AUUGAACGCUGGCGGCAGGCCUAACACAUGCAAGUCGAACGGUAACAGGAAGCAGCUUGCUGCUUCGCUGACGAGUGGCGGACGGGUGAGUAAUGUCUGGGAAACUGCCUGAUGGAGGGGGAUAACUACUGGAAACGGUAGCUAAUACCGCAUAACGUCGCAAGACCAAAGAGGGGGACCUUAGGGCCUCUUGCCAUCGGAUGUGCCCAGAUGGGAUUAGCUAGUAGGUGGGGUAACGGCUCACCUAGGCGACGAUCCCUAGCUGGUCUGAGAGGAUGACCAGCCACACUGGAACUGAGACACGGUCCAGACUCCUACGGGAGGCAGCAGUGGGGAAUAUUGCACAAUGGGCGCAAGCCUGAUGCAGCCAUGCCGCGUGUAUGAAGAAGGCCUUCGGGUUGUAAAGUACUUUCAGCGGGGAGGAAGGGAGUAAAGUUAAUACCUUGGCUCAUUGACGUUACCCGCAGAAGAAGCACCUGCUAACUCCGUG